UACGUAGGCAGCAAGCGUUUGUUCGGAGUUACUGGGCGUAAAGAGUGCGUAGGCGGUGCUCUAAGUUUGGUGUGAAAUCUCCCGGCUUAACUGGGAGGGUGCGCCGAAAACUGGAGUGCUUGAGUAUGGGAGAGGCAAGCGGAAUUCCUGGUGUAGCGGUGAAAUGCGUAGAUAUCAGGAGGAACACCUGUGGUGUAGAUCAGCUUGCUGGACCAUCACUGACGCUGAGGCACGAAAGCCGUGGGUAGCAAACAGG
rnacentral:rRNA from 1 species